GACGAACGCUGGCGGCGUGCUUAACACAUGCAAGUCGAACGGUGAAGCGCCUUCCUUUUUGGUCGGUGUGGAUGAGUGGCGAACUGGUGAGUAACACGUGAGUAACCUGCCCCCUCCUUCUUGAUAACCGCAUGAAAGUGUGGCUACUACGGGAUAUUCUGGGUCUGUCGCAUGAUGGGUCUGGGACAGAUUUUGUUUCGGUUGGGGAUGGGCUCGCGGCCUAUCAGCUUGUUGGUGGGGUGAUGGCCUACCAAGGCGGUGAGGGGUAGCCGGCCUGAGAGGAUCGGCGAUCACGCUAGUGCUGAGACGCGGAGACGACUACUACGGGAGGCAGCAGUGGAGCAUAUUGCAUGAGGGGAGGAAGGCUGAUGCAGCGACGCGGGGUGAGGGAUGGUGGUCGUAGGGUAGUGAACCGCUUUCGGGAGAGAAGAAAGGCGGACGUGACUAUGCACGGGUUGACGGUAGCUGGAUAGGAAGCCACGGCUAACUACGUG
rnacentral:rRNA from 1 species